rnacentral:misc_RNA from 1 species
UCACCCCUCAAGCUCCGGCUUGGUGUUGAGGCCUGCCGUCAAGGCACCCUCUAAAAUCAGUGGCAGUGCCGUCAGGCUCUAAGCGUAGUAAUUUCAUCGCUAUAGACCCGGGCGGACCCUCGCCAGAACCCCCCAUUUUUUUAAU